AGUGAGCAUCUGUGACCGCUCGAGACGGCGGCGGGGCUGGUAUGGAUGGUUUCCGCCCGCGUUAGCCCUUCCAAAUUCGCCCGUCUUCUUGGUGCCACAGCACUCGGAAUAACUUUACGAAAGGAAAGAUAUUUUGCAUCUGCCCUCCCCUCUGGAAAUGGCCACUGUGCUCUGUAAUAGAGCCAGACUGGUUUCCUAUCUCCCGGGAUUUUGCUCUUUAGUUAAAAGGGUUGUCAAUCCCAAAGCCUUUUCAACUGCAGGAUCUUCAGGUUCUGAUGAGUCUCAUGUGGCCCCUGCACCUCCAGAUAUAUGCUCUCAAACAGUAUGGCCUGAUGAAACCAUGGGACCAUUUGGACCUCAGGAUCAGAGAUUCCAGCUUCCUGGGAACAUAGGUUUUGACUGUCAUCUCAAUGGGACCACAUCACAGAAGGAAAGCCAGGUUCAUAAAACUUUACCUGAUGUUCUAGCAGAACCUUUAUCAAGUGAAAGACACGAGUUUGUGAUGGCACAGUAUGUGAAUGAAUUUCAGGGUAGUAAUGCACCUGUUGAACAAGAAAUCAGCAGUGCGGAAACUUACUUUGAAAAUGCCAAAGUAGAGUGUGCAAUCCAGACAUGUCCAGAAUUGCUGCGAAGAGAUUUUGAGUCACUGUUUCCAGAAGGAGCUACCAACAAACUAAUGAUUCUGACUAUAACAUAGAAAACUAAGAAUGAUAUGACUGUUUGGAGCGAAGAGGUAGAAAAUGAAAGAGAAAUGCUUUUAGAAAAGUUCAUUAAUGGUGCUAAGGAAAUUUGCUAUGCUCUUCGAGCUGAAGGCUAUUGGGCUGACUUUAUUGACCCAUCAUCUGGUUUGGCAUUUUUUGGACCAUACACAAACAACACUCUUUUUGAAACAGAUGAACGCUAUCGACAUUUAGGAUUCUCUGUGGAUGAUCUUGGCUGCUGUAAAGUGAUUCAUCAUAGGCUCUGGGGUACCCAUGUGGUUGUAGGAAGUAUCUUCACUAAUGCAACACCAGACAGCCAUAUUAUGAAGAAAUUAGGUGGAAACUAA